rnacentral:piRNA from 1 species
UGUCCUGUUAGGUGUUGUUUCACUGCAGUU